rnacentral:rRNA from 1 species
CGAACGGGUGAGUAACGCGUGAGGAACCUGCCUCAAAGAGGGGGACAACAGUUGGAAACGACUGCUAAUACCGCAUAAGCCCACGGCUCGGCAUCGAGCAGAGGGAAAAGGAGCGAUCCGCUUUGAGAUGGCCUCGCGUCCGAUUAGCUAGUUGGCGAGGUAACGGCCCACCAAGGCGACGAUCGGUAGCCGGACUGAGAGGUUGAACGGCCACAUUGGGACUGAGACACGGCCCAG